GGUUAAGUGACUAAGCGUACACGGUGGAUGCCUAGGCAGUCAGAGGCGAUGAAGGGCGUGCUAAUCUGCGAAAAGCGUCGGUAAGGUGAUAUGAACCGUUAUAACCGGCGAUACCCGAAUGGGGAAACCCAGUGUGUUUCGACACACUAUCAUGUCAUGAAUACAUAGUGGCAUGAGGCGAACCGGGGGAACUGAAACAUCUAAGUACCCCGAGGAAAAGAAAUCAACCGAGAUUCCCCCAGUAGCGGCGAGCGAACGGGGAGGAGCCCAGAACCUGAAUCGGCUUGUGUGUUAGUGGAAGCGUCUGGAAAGUCGCGCAGCAAAGGGUGAUAGCCCCGUACACUAAAAUGCACAGGUCGUGAGUUCGAUGAGUAGGGCGGGACACGUGACAUCCUGUCUGAAUAUGGGGGGACCAUCCUCCAAGGCUAAAUACUCCUGACUGACCGAUAGUGAACCAGUACCGUGAGGGAAAGGCGAAAAGAACCCCGGCGAGGGGAGUGAAAUAGAACCUGAAACCGUGUACGUACAAGCAGUGGGAGCACCUUCGUGGUGUGACUGCGUACCUUUUGUAUAAUGGGUCAGCGACUUAUAUUUUGUAGCAAGGUUAACCGUAUAGGGGAGCCGUAGGGAAACCGAGUCUUAACUGGGCGACUAGUUGCAAGGUAUAGACCCGAAACCCGGUGAUCUAGCCAUGGGCAGGUUGAAGGUUGGGUAACACUAACUGGAGGACCGAACCGACUAAUGUUGAAAAAUUAGCGGAUGACUUGUGGCUGGGGGUGAAAGGCCAAUCAAACCGGGAGAUAGCUGGUUCUCCCCGAAAGCUAUUUAGGUAGCGCCUCGUGAACUCAUCUUCGGGGGUAGAGCACUGUUUCGGCUAGGGGGCCAUCCCGGCUUACCAAACCGAUGCAAACUCCGAAUACCGAAGAAUGUUAUCACGGGAGACACACGGCGGGUGCUAACGUCCGUCGUGAAGAGGGAAACAACCCAGACCGCCAGCUAAGGUCCCAAAGUCAUGGUUAAGUGGGAAACGAUGUGGGAAGGCAUAGACAGCCAGGAUGUUGGCUUAGAAGCAGCCAUCAUUUAAAGAAAGCGUAAUAGCUCACUGGUCGAGUCGGCCUGCGCGGAAGAUGUAACGGGGCUAAACCAUGCACCGAAGCUGCGGCAGCGACGCUUAGGCGUUGUUGGGUAGGGGAGCGUUCUGUAAGCCGUUGAAGGUGGCCUGUGAGGGUUGCUGGAGGUAUCAGAAGUGCGAAUGCUGACAUAAGUAACGAUAAAGCGGGUGAAAAGCCCGCUCGCCGGAAGACCAAGGGUUCCUGUCCAACGUUAAUCGGGGCAGGGUGAGUCGACCCCUAAGGCGAGGCUGAAAAGCGUAGUCGAUGGGAAACAGGUUAAUAUUCCUGUACUUGGUGUUACUGCGAAGGGGGGACGGAGAAGGCUAGGCUGGCCGGGCGACGGUUGUCCCGGUUUAAGCGUGUAGGGGGUGUGACCUGGUAAAUCCGGUUGCAUAUCAACCCUGAGGCGUGAUGACGAUGCACUACGGUGCAGAAGUAGUUGAUGCCCUGCUUCCAGGAAAAUCCUCUAAGCUCCAGGUAACAUUAAAUCGUACCCCAAACCGACACAGGUGGUCAGGUAGAGAAUACCAAGGCGCUUGAGAGAACUCGGGUGAAGGAACUAGGCAAAAUGGUGCCGUAACUUCGGGAGAAGGCACGCUGGCAUGUAGGUGAAGUCCCUCGCGGAUGGAGCUGAAGCCAGUCGAAGAUACCAGCUGGCUGCAACUGUUUAAUAAAAACACAGCACUGUGCAAACACGAAAGUGGACGUAUACGGUGUGACGCCUGCCCGGUGCUGGAAGGUUAAUUGAUGGGGUCAGCCGCAAGGCGAAGCUCUUGAUCGAAGCCCCAGUAAACGGCGGCCGUAACUAUAACGGUCCUAAGGUAGCGAAAUUCCUUGUCGGGUAAGUUCCGACCUGCACGAAUGGCGUAAUGAUGGCCAGGCUGUCUCCACCCGAGACUCAGUGAAAUUGAACUCGCUGUGAAGAUGCAGUGUACCCGCGGCAAGACGGAAAGACCCCGUGAACCUUUACUAUAGCUUGACACUGAACAUUGAGCCUUGAUGUGUAGGAUAGGUGGGAGGCUUUGAAGCGUGGACGCCAGUCUGCGUGGAGCCAUCCUUGAAAUACCACCCUUUAAUGUUUGAUGUUCUAACUCGGCCCCGUGAUCCGGGGUGAGGACAGUGUCUGGUGGGUAGUUUGACUGGGGCGGUCUCCUCCCAAAGAGUAACGGAGGAGCACGAAGGUUAGCUAAUCACGGUCGGACAUCGUGAGGUUAGUGCAAAGGCAUAAGCUAGCUUGACUGCGAGAGUGACGGCUCGAGCAGGUACGAAAGUAGGUCUUAGUGAUCCGGUGGUUCUGAAUGGAAGGGCCAUCGCUCAACGGAUAAAAGGUACUCCGGGGAUAACAGGCUGAUACCGCCCAAGAGUUCAUAUCGACGGCGGUGUUUGGCACCUCGAUGUCGGCUCAUCACAUCCUGGGGCUGAAGUAGGUCCCAAGGGUAUGGCUGUUCGCCAUUUAAAGUGGUACGCGAGCUGGGUUUAGAACGUCGUGAGACAGUUCGGUCCCUAUCUGCCGUGGGCGUUGGAAGAUUGAGAGGGGUUGCUCCUAGUACGAGAGGACCGGAGUGAACGCACCACUGGUGUUCGGGUUGUCAUGCCAAUGGCAUUGCCCGGUAGCUAAGUGCGGAAAAGAUAAGCGCUGAAAGCAUCUAAGCGCGAAACUUGCCUCAAGAUGAGUCUUCCCUGGGCCUUUAAGGUCCCUGAAGGAACGUUUAAGACUAAGACGUUGAUAGGCUGGGUGUGUAAGUGCAGCGAUGCAUUGAGCUAACCAGUACUAAUGAUCCGUGAGGCUUAACCUU
rnacentral:rRNA from 1 species